rnacentral:lncRNA from 1 species
CACCAACCUGCUCUCCGUGCUUGUCUCUUGUAGAUAUGUAAUAGUUUCCGGUUUUCUCAUGGGGGCGCUUAGAUCCAGCAAAGAAGUAAAAAUAUAACCCUUUAAGAAAGCGCGCGAACGUGCUCCAGCGGAUUGUAUGUGCGCAAUGGCCUCCCAACUGUUGAUCCACCGUGAAAAACCAGCUGUGUGCCAUGCAGAUGUCGGAAAAUACUGAAGUCAAAAAAGUUUGUUGUAACUUCAUUGCCUGUGUGAUUUUUGUUUGUCUGAUGUUCUUUUCCCAGCGAGUCCGAGUGUGCCAGAUUCGCCACUCUUGACUCGCCUCUACUUGAGGCCAUUGCAAUGAUGGUUUGACGUGAGUUAAUUAGGAGAAAUAAAUAAGAAAUGAAUAGAAGGUGAAGUUUGUUUCUGCCUUCAAAAAGGUUCGUCUGGUAGGACAUGAUGAACAUGGAUAAUAAGCAACAGUUGUUUCUGCAAAGCUGCUCUUGCUGGAGUUGAGAGGCUCAUGUCCUGCUGCAGAAUAAAUAUACGUAUAUGAAGAUGAGCCAGUUUGACGGGCAAGUCAUUCAUAACUAUUUGGCCAGCUAAUACAGUCAAAUUAAGCAUAAUCAAACUAGCAACCUUAUCCUUAUUUAGACACCACUGACGAUCGAGUGUCACAUGUAUUACCCUGAGUAGUGAUCAGAGUACAAAACUACGCAUGUAGUUCCUUUCAGGAGGCUUUCAUCACAAUUUGUAUUAAGCUUUGGAAAACUAUAAGCAGGAGGCAACCAACCACCUCUAUCCAGAUGUUGCUUCGUGUUGUUGGCUCCUUCCAGUAUUUGUUUUACUUUCAUGUCUUUCUCUUCAGUUUAUAUCUGGAAUAUCCAUUUCUGAGCCCGGGCUCAUCUGCACCUGGUGAACAGUAAAUCCAAAAGAAGAAAAGAACUGAUUUUUUUCCUGGAAGAUGUUUCAGUGCGUGAAGUCCAUGUCAAUUUCCAAUGCGUUCGGACAUGUAAGUAGCUCCAAAAAACAGUCCGAAAAGUAUAUGAACAGUAAAUUAUUUGACGGACCCCAAAUUUGUCUUAUUUGCUGAGAGUUACUAAGAUAUCCAAACGUGCUGAAAAUUGGCACGAAUCUCAUGCACUGAAACAUCUUCCAUGAAAAUUCAGUUUUCUGUACCAUGCAUUAUCUCCAUCCGUGAGUUUUUUCCCUGUUUGAUAAAUGUAGAUACUGGCAAAUUUUGUUUGUUUCUGCGUGGUUACAGUUUACAUUGUCUGUGGAAUAUACAAGUUUAACACCCAGAUUAUUAUGUUACCAUAUUUCUAUGUUCUGGAAGGCAAAAAGUAUCUUGAUCCCAAACUGUGUUAUCUGCUCUCUGUUGCUAUGUUUCAGUUUUUCUACUUGAGAUGACUGACUGAUUGCACACGGCCAAUUUAUGAGUAACCAUGAAGAAAACUAGCAUGUCCAUGUAAGGAGGACGCCAGCCAGCUUUUGAUCUGACCGUGAGCAACUUGCUCAAUCGUUCGUCUUGAGUUAAUUAACAACAGGAUCAUCAGCGCUGGAGUUGGCCAUCUGUUUGAUAAGAGUAAACGGUGACCCUGAUUAAUCAUUGGGUCCACAUUCAGUCAACAGGUGAGCACACACGCAAAUAUCCACUGAUGAGCACAUCUAGCUCCAGCAGAUGACAUUAGAGAUGUGAUCUCAAAGUUUUCAUAGUUGACUUUGAGAUAUAUAUCCUCGUGUGAUGUAUCAGAUGGUAAAAUCCAAACCAGGUUCGUGCCAGCACCACCGAUAUGAUCAUCUUGUCGAAGCAAAGCUCAGCGUAAUCCUAUACCACCAUUGAUGCCUGUACUAAUUGAGUAAAUCAACCUGUUGUACCCUUGAUUUGCAUGAUUUACUACUUUAUCAUCAUGUGCAGGUGCAUGCUUACUCGAGUGGAUGAUCGAUCAAGAGGUGCAUCCUUCCACGGGUGAAGUAAACGACAUCCUAGUUAAAUUAACUCCGGAGUGAAGUAAACGAACGCCUAGCUAGACUAACCCUUACCAUGAUGAAGGUAUGAUUACUGAAGAAAUGAUAUGCUGGAAUGAGAGUACGUAUUCAUUAUUUAGGUACUCAAAUGUGUCCUGACUACACACAGAAUAAUGCUAGUGUACUUCUUUUUGUGUAUCUUUCUCGUUAUGUGAUUUGUGUAAGCAUUAAGUUUACGUCUUGAUAUUAAAACUUCAUAUAUACAUUCGAUGCAUUGCUCUAGACAUUUAAACAAAUGGUGGUAGUGCGUGCAUAUCUAGGAGUAUGCAGUACUCUAGACAUUUAAACAAGUAUCCACUGAUCGAUUGAGAGAACGUCCCUUUAGAAGUUGACAUUUGCAGGAGCGGACGACCUCGAAGUUCUCGUGAUUGAUUUUCAUGUUUAUGCAUGGCAUGUUGGAUGUGCUUAUCCAUGUAGACGUGCUUAUCCAUGUCGACGUGCUUAAGGAUCCCAGGGAUGCAUGUGAGAAUCAGGAUAAUACGGUUGGACGCACGGUGACCGGCGAGCAAUGCAACAAUGUGACUAAUUAAUUAAAGCAUCUGGUUUAUGAUAGUAGUAAUACACUAGACUUUGAUUAACAUUUCUGGGCAAAGAAGCCAUGUGUUUUUGUAGCACUGCAGGCACUUGCUUUACCGGCAUACUUAUUUUUUUUUGCUAAUUUACAGUUAAUUGCAGCAACGUCUCGGUACCGACGUAGGAGAGCAACGCAUACUUUGGAAUAAUUAGACAACCACAAUUAAAAGACUUGUCUACUUAAAAAAUUGAAGUCCAAAGUUCUAAAACUAACUCUCCAGUCUAACAAGUGGAUAUCAUGCAAAAAUGACAAUGUAAUAAAAAUAAAAUUUGUUUGCACAAAUUUUUAAAAAAUCCUCUGAUUAUUAUAUUACAGUACUUCUAAGAUCUGAAACUGGCGAAAAGUAUCUUGAUCUCAAACUGUAUUAUCUGUUUUUGUUGCAGGGUGUCUUCUACCUGAGAUGAAUGACUGAUUGCACACGGCCAAUGUAUGAAGAAAAUUAACAUGUGCAUGUAAGAAGGAUACCAGCCAGCUUUUAAUUUGACCCUGAACAUCAAUCAAUCGCCUUAAGUUAAUGGUAACUACAAGUUUUCACAGUAAAAUGUUCAUGCAUGCUUCAGUUUAAUUCCUGGUCUCGCUCCAUGCGCUUGCCGGCAUCCGCAACGAGCGGACUAUGCUCUUGCCGGUGAUGAUUCACGGUGAGCGCCUGGUGGCCCUCCUGGAUACAGGCUCCAUGCAUAACUCCCUGCCCGAGGCUACCAUGCGGUGCUUAGCGCUUCAGCCGACGGGCAGGGAGCAACUUCGGGUCACGGUGGCUAACGGCGACCGCCUCCGGUCCCAUGGGCUGGUGCAGAACGUGCCCAUCAUCAUCGGCGACGAGCACUUCACUAUCACGUGCACUGGCAUUGACUUGGGCUGCUUCGACUUCAUCCUCGGCGUCGACUUCUUGCGGACCCUCGGUCCCAUCCUCUGGGACUUCGACGCUGUGACGAUGAACUUCUGGCGCCUAGGUCGCCGUGUCCGGUGGGAGGGCGUGGUUGGCGCCUCACCAGUGACGCCGCAGUUGCAGCUGGCCGCGACCGCUGCCGAACCCGAGCACCCACUGUUGGAUCACCUCCUGCAGUAGCACCGCGACCUCUUCGACGAGCCUCAAGGCCUUCCGCCAGCUUGGGUGUAUGAUCACUGCAUUCAUCUCCUGCCGGGCACGACGCCGAUUGCAGUGUGCCCCUACCGCUAUCCCCAGUUGCAGAAGGACAAGCUAGAGCAGCAGUGUGUGAUCAUGCUCGCCUUGGGCAUCAUCCGGAUCUCCACGUCGCCGUUUUUGGCGCCGUUCCUCCUCGUCCGCAAGUCGGAUGGCACGUGGCGCUUCUGCAUCGACUACCGCGCCCUUAAUGCCCUGACACUCAAGGACAAGCUUCCUAUCCCGGUGGUCGACGAGCUUCUGGACGAGCUACAUAGGGCGCGCUUCUUCACCAAGCUCGACCUCCGAUCAGGCUACCACUAGGUGCGGAUGCACCCGGACGAUGUUGCCAAGACGACGUUUCAGACUCAUCACGGCCACUUCGAGUUCUUGAUGAUGCCUCUUGGCCUCUCCAACACCUCGGCGGCCUUCCAGGCUUUGAUGAACGACAUCCUCCGCCCCUACUUGCGUCGGUUUGUGCUCGUUUUCUUUGAUGACAUUCUUAUCUACAGCGCCUCGUGGGCGGAGCACCUUCAGCACGUCGCCAUCGUCUUCAACGAGCUUCGAGCACACCAUCUUCAUCUUAAGCGCUUGAAGUGCUCGUUCGGGACACCUUCAGCUCGGCCACGUCAUCUCGCUCGAGGGGGUUGCUAUGGACGCCGACAAGGUGGCGACCAUCGCGGCCUGGCUGACACUGCACUCACUGCGAGCUCUUCGUGGCUUGCUGGGCCUCGCGGGGUAUUACCGGAAAUUUAUUCGGGAGUUCGGCCUCACCGCGUCCCCGCUCACGCACUUGCUGCGUCGCGACGCCUUUGCCUGGGAUGCGGAGGCGACAUCGACAUUCAAGGCUCUCACAGGGGCCCUCACAACGGGUCCAGUUCUUCAGAUGCCUGACUUUCACUGCUCGUUCGUCAUGGACUGCGACGCCUCCGGUGUGGGCUUUGGUGCCGUCCUUCAUCAGGGCAAUGGACCACACGCGUUCUUCAGCAGGCCCUUUGUCGCGCGCCAUCUUAAGCUCGCGGCCUAUGAGAGGGAGCUCAUUGGCUUGGUGCAGGUCGUGCGCCAUUGGCGGCCCUAUCUUUGGGGCCGGUCGUUCCGGAUUCGCACGGAUCACUACAGCCUCAAGUUCUUAAUUAUUGGACCAGAGGCUGUCUACCGUGCCGCAGCACCAGUGGAUCAACAAGCUCUUUGGCUUCGACUUCACCAUCGAGUAUCGUCCGGGCCGCCUUAACACCAUGGACGACGCCUUGUCCCGCCGCCACACCUACCACGACGCAGCCGUCGGCAACUCCGAUGGGGCGGCGCUCUGCAUCCGCUCCAGGCCCUCCUUCGCCCUCUCUGCUGACAUCCGCAGGGCCACCGCGAUCGCGCCGGAUGCUCAGCUCCUUCGGCAGCGCCUGGAUGACGGCGACCUGGAGGAGCUGUGGCGUCUAGUGGAUGGCUUGCUCCUGCAUGGGCGCCGUCUCUUCGUGCCGGACCACAUUGACCUCCGUCACUAGGUUCUGCUGCUGGCACACUCGGACGGCCACGAGAAUGUGUAGAAGACCCUCCACCGUCUCCGCGCCGACUUCUACAUCCCCGGUGAUCGGGCCCUGGUCCGGGACUGGGUUCGGUCUUGUGUGACGUGCCAGCGCAACAAGACGGAGAUAAUGCGGCCGGCUGGUCUGCUACAACCCUUGGAGGUGCCCUCUCAGGUCUGGGCUGAUAUCUCCAUGGACUGCAUCGAGGGCCUCCCCAAGGUGGGCGGCAAGUUCGUCAUCUUCAUGGUGGUCGACCGCUUCUCCAAGUACGCGCACUUCAUCGUGCUCGGGCAUCCCUACAAUGCCGCAUCCGUGGCCCGUGCCUUCUUCGACAACAUUGUCCGCCUCCACGGGUUUCCCUCUUCGAUUGUCAAUGACCGGGACCCUGUGUUCAUGGGGCAUGUCUGGCGCGGUCUCUUCCGGAUGGCGGGCGUGAAGCUUCGCCUGAGCACGGCCUUCCAUCCUCAGACGGACGGCCAAUCCGAGGUGGUCAACAAGGUGAUUGCCAUGUAUUUGCGUUGUGUCAUAGGUGACUAUCCUCGCGCUUGGGUGGACUAGCUUGCAUGGGCGGAGUACUGCUACAACACCUCUUAUCACUCCGCCCUGAGUGCCACGCCGUUCGAGGUGGUCUAUGGCCGACCGCCCCCGCCCAUCCUGCCGGUUGACCCAGAGACGGCUCAAGCGGAGGCAGCGGGCGACCUUCUUCGCAGCCGCGAUGAGAUGCUUGCAGAGGUGCGACAAUGUUGGAAAUAUGCCCUAGAGGCAAUAAUAAAAUGAUUAUUAUAUUUCCUUGUUUAUGAUAAUUGUCUAUUAUUCAUGCUAUAAUUGUAUUAUCCGGAAAUUGUAAUACAUGUGUGAAUGCAUAGACCACAAUGUGUCCCUAGUGAGCCUCUAGUUGACUAGCUCGUUGAUCAACAGAUAGUCAUGGUUUCCUGGCUAUGGACAUGGGGAUGUCAUUGAUAACGGGAUCACAUCAUCAGGAGAAUGAUGUAAUGGACAAGACCCAAACCUAAGCAUAGCACAAAGAUCGUGUAGUUCGUUUGCUGUAGCUUUUCUGGAUGUCAAGUAUCAUUUCCUUAGACCAUGAGAUUGUGCAACUCCCGGAUACCGUAGGAGUGCCUUGGGUGUGCCAAACGUCACAACGUAACUGGGUGACUAUAAAGGUACAUUACAGGUAUCUCCGAAAGUGUCUGUUGGGUUGGCACGAAUCGAGACUGGGAUUUGUCACUCCGUAUGACGAAGAGGUAUCUCUGGGCCCACUCGGUAAUGCAUCAUCAUAAUGAGCUCAAUGUGAUCAAGUGAUUGAUCACGAGAUCAUGCAUUACGGUAGAGUAAAGUGACUUGCCGGUAACGAGACUGAACAAGGUAUUGGGAUACCGACGAUCGAGUCUCGGGCAAGUAACGUACCGAUUGACAAAGGGAAUUGAGUACGGGAUUGAUUAGGUCCUCGACAUCGUGGUUCAUCCGAUGAGAUCAUCGAGGAGCAUGUGGGAGCCAACAUGGGUAUCCAGAUCCCGUUGUUGGUUAUUGACCAGAGAGUCGUCUCGGUCAUGUCUGCUUGUCUCCCGAACCCGUAGGGUCUACACACUUAAGGUUCGGUGACGCUAGGGUUGUAUAGAUAUGAGUAUGCAGUAAUCCGAAAGUUGUUCGGAGUCCCGGAUGAGAUCCUGGACGUCACGAGGAGUUCCGGAAUUGUCCGGAGAUGAAGAAUUAUAUAUAGGAAGUGUAGUUUCGGCCAUCGGGAAAGUUUCGGGGUCACCGGUAUUGUACCGGGACCACCGGAUGGGUCCCGGGGGUCCACCAGGUGGGGCCACCCAUCCCAGAGGGCCCCAUGGGCUGAAGUGGGGAGGAGAACCAGCCCAUAGUGGGCUGGUGCACCCCCCUUGGGCCCCCCAUGCGCCUAGGGUUGGGAACCCUAGGGGAGGGGGCGCCUCCACUUGCCUUGGGGGGUACUCCACCCCUUGGCCGCCGCCCCCCUAGGAGAUCCCAUCUCCUAGGGCCGGCGCACCCCCCUAGGGGGCCUAUAUAAAGGGGGGGAGGGAGGGCAGUCGCACCUCAAGCCUUGGCGCCUCCCUCUCCCCUGCUACACCUCUCCCUCUCGCAGAAGCUCGGCGAAGCCCUGCUGCGAUCACCGCUGCAUCCACCACCACGUCGUCGUGCUGCUGGAUCUUCAUCAACCUCUCCUUUCCCCUUGCUGGAUCAAGAAGGAGGAGACGUCAUCCGCUCCGUACGUGUGUUGAACGCGGAGGUGCCGUCCGUUCGGCACUUGGUCAUCGGUGAUUUGGAUCACGGCGAGUACGACUCCAUCAUCCCCGUUCUCUUGAGCGCUUCCGCUCGCGAUCUACAAGGGUAUGUAGAUGAACUCUCCUCUCGUUGCUAGUUGACUCCAUAGAUUGAUCUUGGUGAAACAUAGAAUUUUUUUUUGUUUUCUGCUACGAUCCCCAACAGUGGCAUCAUGAGCUAGGUUUAUGCGUAGUUACUAUGCACGAGUAGAACACAAAGUAGUUGUGGGCGUCGAUAUUGUCAAUUUUCUUGCCGUUACUAGUCUUAUCUUGAUUCGGCGGCAUCGUGGGAUGAAGUGGCCCGGACCAACCUUACACGUACGCUUACGUGAGACCGGUUCCACCGAUUGACAUGCACUAGUUGCAUAAGGUGGCUGGCGGGUGUCUGUCUCUCCCACUUUAGUCGGAUCGGAUUCGAUGAACAGGGUCCUUAUGAAGGGUAAAUAGAAAUUGGCAAUUCACGUUGUGGUUUUGGCGUAGGUAAGAAACGUUCUUGCUAGAAACCUAUAACAGCCACGUAAAAACUUGCAACAACAAUUAGAGGACGUCUAACUUGUUUUUGCAGCAAGUGUUUUGUGAUGUGAUAUGGCCAAAAGUUGUGAUGAAUGAUGAAUGAUAUAUGUGAUGUAUGAGAUUGAUCAUGUACUUGUAAUAGGGAUCACGACUUGCAUGUCGAUGAGUAUGACAACCGGCAGGAGCCAUAGGAGUUGUCUUUAUUUAUUUAUGACCUGCGUGUCAACAUAAACGUCAUGUAAUUACUUUACUUUAUUGCUAAAGCGCUAGCCAUAGUAGUAGAAGUAAUAGUUGGCGAGCAACUUCAUGGAGACACGAUGAUGGAGAUCAUGAUGAUGGAGAUCAUGGUGUCAUGCCGGUGACAAGAUGAUCAUGGAGCCCCAAGAUGGAGAUCAAAUGAGCUAUAUGAUAUUGGCCAUAUCAUGUCACUAUUAUUCGAUUGCAUGUGAUGUUUAUCAUGUUUUUGCAUCUUGUUUACUUAGAACGACGGUAGUAAAUAAGAUGAUCCCUCAUAAUAAUUUCAAGAAAGUGUUCCUCCUAACUGUGCGCCGUUGCGACAGUUUGUUGUUUCGAAGCACCACGUGAUGAUCGGGUGUGAUAGAUUCCAACGUUCACAUACAACGGGUGUAAGACAGAUUUACACACGCAAUACACUUAGGUUGACUUGACGUGCCUAGCAUGUAUAGACAUGGCCUCGGAACACAGAAGACCGAAAGGUCGAGCAUGAGUCGUAUAGAAGAUACGAUCAACAUGAAGAUGUUCACCGAUGUUGACUGGUCCGUCUCACGUGAUGAUCGGACACGGCCUAGUCAACUCGGAUCAUGUUAUACUUAGAUGACUGGAGGGAUGUCUAUCUAAGUGGGAGUUCAUUGAAUAAUUUGAUUAGAUGAACUUAAUUAUCAUGAACUUAGUCUAAAAUCUUUACAAUAUGUCUUGUAGAUCAAAUGGCCAACAUUGUCCUCAACUUCAACGCGUUCCUAGAGAAAACCAAACUGAAAGACGAUGGCAGCAACUAUACGGACUGGGUCCAGAACCUAAGGAUCAUCCUCAUAGCUGCCAAGAAAGAUUAUGUCCUAGAAGCACCGCUAGGUGACGCACGUUCAGUGCGGCAUGCUUUACAACUUAGAACUGGGGCUCCAAAAGUGUUUUGAGCGACACGGAGCAUAUGAGAUGUUCAAAGAGCUGAAAAUGGUUUUCCAAGCUCAUGCUCGGGUCGAGAGAUAUGAAGUCUCCGACAAGUUCUUCAGCUGUAAGAUGGAGGAAAAUAGUUCUGUCAGUGAGCACAUACUCAAAAUGUCUGGGUUGCAUAACCGCUUGACUCAGCUGGGAGUUAAUCUCCCGGAUGACGCGGUCAUUGACAGAAUCCUUCAGUCGCUUCCACCAAGCUACAAGAGCUUUAUGAUGAACUUCAAUAUGCAGGGGAUGGAAAAGACCAUUCCUGAAGUAUUUGCAAUGCUGAAAUCAGCAGAGGUAGAAGUCAAAAAGGAACAUCAAGUGUUGAUGGUGAAUAAAACCACUAAGUUCAAGAAAGGCAAGGGUGAGAAGAACUUCAAGAAGGACGGCAAGGGAGUUGCCGCGUCCGGUAAGCAAGCUAUCGGGAAGAAGCCAAAGAAUGGACCCAAGCUCGAGACUGCGUGCUUUUAUUGCAAGGGAAAUGGUCACUGGAAGCGGAACUGCCCCAAAUACUUAGCGGACAAGAAGGCCGGCAUCACAAAAGGUAUAUGUGAUAUACAUGUAAUUGAUGUGUACCUUACCAGUACUCGUAGUAGCUCCUGGGUAUUUGAUAUCGGUGCGGUUGCUCACAUUUGUAACUCAAAGCAGGAGCCGCGGAAUAAGCGGAGACUGGCGAAGGACGAGGUGACGAUGCGCGUCGGGAAUGGUUCCAAGGUCGAUGUGAUCGCCGUCGGCACGCUACCUCUACAUUUACCUACGGGAUUAGUUUUAAACCUCAAUAAUUAUUAUUUAGUGCCAGCUUUGAGCAUGAACAUUGUAUCAGGAUCUCGUUUAAUAUGAGAUGGCUACUCAUUUAAAUCCGAGAAUAAUGGUUGUUCUAUUUAUAUGAGAGAUAUGUUUUAUGGUCAUGCUUCGAUGGUGAAUGGUUUAUUCUUAAUGAAUCUCGAGCGUAAUGCUACACAUAUUCAUAGUGUGAAUACCAAAAGAUGUAAGGUUGAUAAUGAUAGUCCCACAUACUUGUGGCACUGCCGCCUUGGUCACAUAGGUGUCAAACGCAUGAAGAAGCUCCAUGCAGAUGGACUUUUAGAGUCUCUUGAUUACGAAUCAUUUGACACAUGCGAACCAUGCCUCAUGGGUAAAAUGACCAAGACUCCAUUCUCAGGAACAAUGGAGCGAGCAACCAACUUAUUGGAAAUCAUACAUACUGAUGUGUGCGGUCCAAUGAGUAUUGAGGCUCGCGGUGGUUAUCCUUAUGUUCUCACCCUCACUGAUGACUUGAGUAGAUAUGGGUAUGUCUACUUAAUGAAACACAAGUCUGAGACCUUUGAAAAGUUCAAGGAAUUUCAGAGUGAGGUUGAGAAUCAACGUGACAGGAAAAUCAAGUUCUUGCAAUCAGAUCGUGGGGGAGAAUACUUGAGUCACGAAUUUGGCACACACUUAAGAAAAUGUGGAAUAGUUUCACAGCUCACGCCGCCUGGAACACCUCAGCGUAAUGGUGUGUCCGAACGUCGUAAUCGCACUCUAUUGGAUAUGGUGCGAUCUAUGAUGUCUCUUACCGAUUUACCGCUGUCAUUUUGGGGCUAUGCUUUAGAGACUGCCGCAUUCACUUUAAAUAGGGCUCCGUCGAAAUCCGUUGAGACAACACCGUAUGAAUUAUGGUUUGGGAAGAAACCUAAGCUGUCGUUUCUAAAAGUUUGGGGAUGCGAUGCUUAUGUCAAGAAACUUCAACCUGAAAAGCUCAAACCCAAAUCAGAAAAAUGCGUCUUCAUAGGAUACCCUAAAGAGACAGUUAGGUAUACCUUCUACCUCAGAUCUGAAGGCAAGAUCUUUGUUGCCAAGAAUGGGUCCUUUCUAGAGAAAGAGUUUCUCUCGAAAGAAAUAAGUGGGAGGAAGGUAGAACUUGAUGAAGUAUUACCUCUUGAACCGGUAAGUGGCGCAACUCAAGAAAAUGUUCCUGAGGUGCCUGCACCGACUAGAGAGGAAGUUGUUGAUGAUGAUCAUGAAACUUCAGAUCAAGUUGCUACUAAACUUCGUAGGUCCACAAGGACACGUUCCGCACCAGAGUGGUACGGCAACCCUGUCUUGGAAAUCAUGUUGUUAGACAACGGUGAACCUUCGAACUAUGAAGAAGCGAUGGCGGGUCCGGAUUCCGACAAAUGGCUGGAAGCCAUGAAAUCCGAGAUAGGAUCCGUGUAUGAAAACGAAGUAUGGACUUUGACUGACUUGCCCAUUGAUCGGCGAGCCAUAGAAAAUAAAUGGAUCUUUAAGAAGAAGACAGACGCGGAUGGUAAUGUGACCAUCUAUAAAGCUCGGCUUGUCGCUAAUGGUUAUCGACAAGUUCAAGGGGUUGACUACGAUGAGACUUUCUCACCUGUAGCGAAGCUGAAGUCCGUCCGAAUCAUGUUAGCAAUUGCCGCAUUCUAUGAUUAUGAGAUAUGGCAAAUGGACGUCAAAACGGCAUUCCUUAAUGGUUUCCUUAAGGAAGAAUUGUAUAUGAUGCAGCUGGAAGGUUUUGUCGAUCCUAAGAAUGCUGACAAGAUGUGCAAUCUCCAACGCUCGAUUUAUGGGCUGGUGCAAGCAUCUCGGAGUUGGAACAUUCGCUUUGAUGAGAUGAUCAAAGCGUUUGGGUUUAUGCAGACUUAUGGAGAAGCCUGCAUUUACAAGAAAGUGAGUGGGAGCUCUGUAGCAUUUCUCAUAUUGUAUGUGGAUGACAUACUGUUGAUGGGAAAUGAUAUAGAAUUCUUGGAAAGCAUAAAGGCCUAUUUGAACAAGUGUUUUUCAAUGAAGGACCUUGGAGAAGCUGCUUAUAUAUUAGGCAUCAAGAUCUAUAGAGAUAGAUCGAGACGCCUCAUUGGUCUUUCACAGAGUACGUACCUUGACAAGAUAUUGAAGAAGUUCAAAAUGGAUCAGUCAAAGAAGGGGUUCUUUCCUGUAUUGCAAGGUACGAGAUUGAGCUUGGCUCAAUGCCCGACCAUGGCAGAAGAUAGAGAAAAGAUGAGUGUCGUCCCCUAUGCCUCGGCCAUAGGGUCUAUCAUGUAUGCUAUGCUAUGUACCAGACCUGAUGUAAACCUUGCCGUGAGUUUGGUAGGAAGGUACCAAAGUAAUCCCGGCAUGGAACACUAGACAGCGGUCAAAAAUAUCCUGAAGUACCUGAAAAGGACUAAGGAAAUGUUUCUCGUUUAUGGAGGUGACGAAGAGCUCGUCGUAAAGGGUUACGUCGAUGCUAGCUUCGACACAGAUCUGGAUGACUCUAAGUCACAAACCGGAUACGUGUAUAUUUUGAAUGGUGGGGCAGUAAGCUGGUGCAGUUGCAAGCAAAGCGUUGUGGCGGGAUCUACAUGUGAAGCGGAGUACAUGGCAACCUCGGAGGCAGCACACGAAGCAGUCUGGGUGAAGGAGUUCAUUACCGACCUAGGAGUCAUACCCAAUGCGUCGGGCCCGAUGACUCUCUUCUAUGACAACACUGGAGCUAUUGCCCUUGCCAAGGAGCCCAGGUUUCACAGGAAGACCAGGCAUAUCAAGCGUCGCUUCAGCUCCAUUCGUGAAAGUGUUCAAAAUGGAGACAUGCAGAUUUGUAAAGUACAUACGGACCUGAAUGUAGCAGAUCCGUUGACUAAACCUCUCCCUAGAGCAAAACAUGAUCAACACCAGAAUUCCAUGGGUGUUCGAUUCAUCACAAUGUAACUAGAUGAUUGACUCUAGUGCAAGUGGGAGACUGUUGGAAAUAUGCCCUAGAGGCAAUAAUAAAAUGAUUGUUAUAUUUCCUUGUUCAUGAUAAUUAUCUAUUAUUCAUGUUAUAAUUGUAUUAUCUGGAAAUCGUAAUACAUGUGUGAAUGCAUAGACCACAAUGUGUCCCUAGUGAGCCUCUAGUUGACUAGCUCGUUGAUCAACAUAUAGUCAUGGUUUCCUGGCUAUGGACAUGGGGAUGUCAUUGAUAACGGGAUCACAUCAUUAGGAGAAUGAUGUGAUGGACAAGACCCAAACCUAAGCAUAGCACAAAGAUCGUAGUUCGUUUGUUGUAGCUUUUCUGGAUGUCAAGUAUCAUUUCCUUAGACCAUGAGAUUGUGCAACUCCCGGAUACCGUAGGAGUGCCUUGGGUGUGCCAAACGUCACAACGUAACUGGGUGACUAUAAAGGUACAUUACAGGUAUCUCCGAAAGUGUCUGUUGGGUUGGCACGAAUCGAGACUGGGAUUUGUCACUCCGUAUGACGAAGAGGUAUCUCUGGGCCCACUCGGUAAUGCAUCAUCAUAAUGAGCUCAAUGUGAUCAAGUGAUUGAUCACGGGAUCAUGCAUUAUGGUACGAGUAAAGUGACUUGCCGGUAACGAGACUGAACAAGUUAUUGGGAUACCGACGAUCGAGUCUCGGGCAAGUAACGUACCGAUUGACAAAGGGAAUUGAGUACGGGAUUGAUUAAGUCCUCGACAUCGUGGUUCAUCCGAUGAGAUCAUCGAGGAGCAUGUGGGAGCCAACAUGGGUAUCCAGAUCCCGCCGUUGGUUAUUGACCAGAGAGUCGUCUCGGUCAUGUCUGCUUGUCUCCCGAACCUGUAGGGUCUACACACUUAAGGUUCGGUGACGCUAGGGUUGUAUAGAUAUGAGUAUGCAGUAAUCCGAAAGUUGUUCGGAGUCCCGAAUGAGAUCCUGGACGUCACGAGGAGUUCUGGAAUUGUCCGGAGGUGAAGAAUUACAUAUAGGAAGUGUAGUUUCGGCCAUCGGGAAAGUUUCGGGGUCACCGGUAUUGUACCGGGACCACCGGAUGGGUCCCGGGGGUCCACCGGGUGGGGCCACCCAUCUCGGAGGGCCCCAUGGGCUGAAGUGGGGAGGGGAACCAGCCCAUAAUGGGCUGGUGCGCCCCCCCCCUUGGGCCCCCCAUGCGCCUAGGGUUGGGAACCCUAGGGGAGGGGGCGCCUCCACUUGCCUUGGGGGGUACUCCACCCCUUGGCCGCCGCCCCCCUAGGAGAUCCCAUCUCCUAGGGCCGGCGCACCCCCCUAGGGGGCCUAUAUAAAGGGGGGAGGGAGGGCAGCCACACCUCAAGCCUUGGCGCCUCCCUCUCCCCUGCUACACCUCUCCCUCUCGCAGAAGCUCGGCGAAGCCCUGCUGCGAUCACUGCUGCAUCCACCACCACGCCGUCGUGCUGCUGGAUCUUCAUCAACCUCUCCUUCCCCCUUGCUGGAUCAAGAAGGAGGAGACGUCAUCCGCUCCGUACGUGUGUUGAACGCGGAGGUGCCGUCCGUUCGGCACUUGGUCAUCGGUGAUUUGGAUCACGGCGAGUACGACUCCAUCAUCCCCGUUCUCUUGAGUGCUUCCGCUCGUGAUCUACAAGGGUAUGUAGAUGCACUCUACUCUCGUUGCUAGUUGACUCCAUAGAUUGAUCUUGGUGAAACGUAGAAUUCUCUUUGUUUUCUGCUACGAUCCCCAACAGACAACGCCUCAUUCAGGCCCAGCAGCUGGCCAAGCACUACUACGACGGCCACCACCGUGAGGCGGAGUUCGCGGUGGGCGACUGGGUGUGGCUGUGCCUUCUUCACCAUUCUAUGCAGUCCCUUGACCCGCGCGCAAAGCGCAAGCUGGUCCCUCGCUACGCCGGGCCAUUUUUCGUGCCGGAGCGCAUUGUGAAGGUGGCCUACCGCCUUCAGCUUCCGGCCGAUGCUCGCAUCCACGACAUCAUCCAUGUGGGGCUGCUGAAGCCCUUCCGUGGGGAGCCACCGGCAGCCACGCCCGCGCUACCUCCUACCCCCGAUGGGCGCCUCCUUCUCGGACCAGCGAAGGUAUUGCAGGCCUAGCUAUGUCGCGGGGUGUAGCACUUGUUGAUCCAGUGGGACGGCCUUCCGGAGGAGGAGGCCACUUGGGAGCAGUGCGACGAGUUCCGCCAACACUACCCAGACUUCCAGCUCGAGGACGAGCUGUUUGCGCAGGCGGGGAGAGAUGUUAUGACCGGGAUAACUUAUACCCGGAGGAGGCCCACUGGCGCAUUUAGUUAGGGGCUUAGCCCAAGAGUUAUCUUAUUUUUGUUAGCAUCGUGAUUAUAUAAACAACUGUAAAGACUCUUUUGGAAAAUCAAGCAAUAAGACAAUUCUAUUGCCCGGCUCCUUGAGGAGCCGGAACCCUAAACCCUAGCCGCUUCCUGCCAACGCCGCCUCCUCCUCACUCGCGCAUGACGGCGCCCAGCCGCCGGCGGCCGCAUGUUCAUCCACGUCCAGCUCCCUCCUUCCCCUACAACCUCAGGCCUAGACCCGGUAGAACCCUAGUUCCUACCACGACCUCUGAAGUUUUUGUAAUUAACAUUGACUUAUAUAUACCCACGGAUGUAUCUUAACUUGUUUUAUCUAACAAAGGGAACAUCAAUUUAACAUGUGUUUGUGAGAGAAAUAAAUGUAAAAUUGCAUCAAUUUAAUAUAUCCAGAGUAAGAUACAUUAUAUGUCUCUUUUAAUGUCAAUUAAGCUUCACAUUUCGAAUUACCAACGAAACAACCUUCACUAAAAAUUAGGAUGAGCUUUCGGAUAUUUUCAACAGAUUGGAGGUCGGCGAACCCACUUCAUCUUUAAAUAACAAUGAAUUUCAAAAAGUCUAAGCAUACCCACAACUAUCAAAGGUCUAAUAAACUUUCAAAAAAAUAAAA